rnacentral:rRNA from 1 species
UACGUAGGGGGCAAGCGUUGUCCGGAAUUAUUGGGCGUAAAGCGCGUGUAGGCGGCCAGAUAAGUCCGCUGUGAAAUCUCGAGGCUCAACUUCGAGCUGUCGGUGGAAACUGUCUGGCUAGAGUCCGGAAGAGGAGAAUGGAAUUCCUGGUGUAGCGGUGAAAUGCGCAGAUAUCAGGAAGAACACCCGUGGCGAGGCGGUUCUCUGGGACGGUACUGACGCUGAGACGCGAAAGCGUGGGGAGCGAACAGG